GAUACAUCGGUCUAGGGCGUCUUCACCCCCUGUGGGCUGAGCUGUUCCCAGGGCCUCGGGUCUUCCAGGAUUGGUGUCAGUUUUCUUCCUCCAAGAUGUCAGAGCUGGUUAUAUAAUUCUGGUCGCUUUUAGAACCCCUGAAGAAGCCGACUACGGCGAAAUAUAUUGGGUCAAAUAACAUCCCAAACCGACCAGUAGUUCAACAUUGGGGAAUUCCAGCAACCCAAAUAUCCGAAUUCUGACAAAUUGUUUUUAAAUGGUGUAUUAUGUAUUGUAUAAAAUUCAAACUUUGAUGUUUUAAUAAAUUGUUAUAAAAUU